rnacentral:rRNA from 1 species
ACGAACGCUGGCGGCGUGCUUAACACAUGCAAGUCGAACGGAAAGGCCCUGCUUUUGUGGGGUGCUCGAGUGGCGAACGGGUGAGUAACACGUGAGUAACCUGCCCUUGACUUUGGGAUAACUUCAGGAAACUGGGGCUAAUACCGGAUAGGAGCUCCUGCUGCAUGGUGGGGGUUGGAAAGUUUCGGCGGUUGGGGAUGGACUCGCGGCUUAUCAGCUUGUUGGUGGGGUAGUGGCUUACCAAGGCUUUGACGGGUAGCCGGCCUGAGAGGGUGACCGGCCACAUUGGGACUGAGAUACGGCCCAGACUCCUACGGGAGGCAGAAGUGGGGAAUAUUGCACAAUGGGCGGAAGCCUGAUGCAGCGACGCCGCGUGCGGGAUGACGGCCUUCGGGUUGUAAACCGCUUUCGCCUGUGACGAAGCGUGAGUGACGGUAAUGGGUAAAGAAGCACCGGCUAACUACGUG